AGUGAACGCUGGCGGUAGGCCUAACACAUGCAAGUCGAACGGCAGCACAGUAAUAGCUUGCUCUUACGGGUGGCGAGUGGCGGACGGGUGAUGAAUACAUCGGAAUCUACUUUUUCGUGGGGGAUAACGUAGGGAAACUUACGCUAAUACCGCAUACGACCUACGGGUGAAAGCAUGGGAUCUUCGGACCUUGCGCGAGUGAAUGAGCCGAUGUCGGAUUAGCUAGUUGGCGGGGUAAAGGCCCACCAAGGCGACGAUCCGUAGCUGGUCUGAGAGGAUGAUCAGCCACACUGGAACUGAGACACGGUCCAGACUCCUACGGGAGGCAGCAGUGGGGAAUAUUGGACAAUGGGCGCAAGCCUGAUCCAGCCAUACCGCGUGGGUGAAGAAGGCCUUCGGGUUGUAAAGCCCUUUUGUUGGGAAAGAAAAGCAGCAGGUUAAUACCCCGCUGUUCUGACGGUACCCAAAGAAUAAGCACCGGCUAACUUCGUG
rnacentral:rRNA from 1 species